rnacentral:rRNA from 1 species
GACGAACGCUGGCGGCGUGCUUAACACAUGCAAGUCGAACGGAAAGGCCCUGCUUUUGUGGGGUGCUCGAGUGGCGAACGGGUGAGUAACACGUGAGUAACCUGCCCUUGACUUUGGGAUAACUUCAGGAAACUGGGUCUAAUACCGGAUAGGAGCUCCUGCUGCAUGGUGGGGGUUGGAAAGUUUCGGCGGUUGGGGAUGGACUCGCGGCUUAUCAGCUUGUUGGUGUGGUAGUGGCUUACCAAGGCUUUGACGGGUAGCCGGCCUGAGAGGGUGACCGGCCACAUUGGGACUGAGAUACGGCCCAGACUCCUACGGGAGGCAGCAGUGGGGAAUAUUGCACAAUGGGCGGAAGCCUGAUGCAGCAACGCCGCGUGCGGGAUGACGGCCUUCGGGUUGUAAACCGCUUUCGCAUGUGACGAAGCGUGAGUGACGGUAAUGGGUAAAGAAGCACCGGCUAACUACGUG